GCGUGGACAACCCGGAGGGUAGCGCGAAGAUUCAUAGGAGGUUAAGAGAGGUUAAGUCCGUGGAGUCGGUAAUCACCUUGUAAUCUUUUCUCUUAGUGAAUUAUUUUUUCGCGUGUUGGUCCCGUGGGUUUUUCUCCAAGUUGGAGUUUUCCCACGUAAAUCUCGGUGUGUUUUUUAUUUUCCGCAUUUAUUUUUAUUGCAUCGAGAUUUGUGGUUUUUGGUCGUUACACCUAUUCACCCCCCCUCUAGGUGAUAGAUACAAUCUAGAUAGAUCCUUGGGCUCCUCAAAACUUUC
rnacentral:lncRNA from 1 species